rnacentral:rRNA from 1 species
CAGCAGUAGCCGCGGGAAUACGGAGGGUGCAAGCGUUAUCCGGAUUUAUUGGGUUUAAAGGGUCCGUAGGCGGAUCUGUAAGUCAGUGGUGAAAUCUCACAGCUUAACUGUGAAACUGCCAUUGAUACUGCAGGUCUUGAGUAAAUUUGAAGUGGCUGGAAUAAGUAGUGUAGCGGUGAAAUGCAUAGAUAUUACUUAGAACACCAAUUGCGAAGGCAGGUCACUAAGAUUUAACUGACGCUGAUGGACGAAAGCGUGGGGAGCGAACAGGAUUAGAUACCCGUGUAGUCCCUGUCUCUUAUAC